GUUAAAAAGCUCGUAGUUGGAUUUCUGCUGAGGACGACCGGUCCGCCCUCUGGGUGAGUAUCUGGCUCGGCCUUGGCAUCUUCUUGGAGAACGUAACUGCACUUGACUGUGUGGUGCGGUAUUCAGGACUUUUACUUUGAGGAAAUUAGAGUGUUUCAAGCAGGCACAUGCCUUGAAUACAUUAGCAUGGAAUAAUGAGAUAGGACCUUGGUUCUAUUUUGUUGGUUUCUAGAGCUGAGGUAAUGAUUAAUAGGGAUAGUUGGGGGCAUUCGUAUUUAACUGUCAGAGGUGAAAUUCUUGGAUUUAUGAAAGACGAACUUCUGCGAAAGCAUUUGCCAAGGAUGUUUUCAUUAAUCAAGAACGAAAGUUGGAGGCUCGAAGACGAUCAGAUACCGUCCUAGUUCCAACCAUAAACGAUGCCGUCUGCGGAUCGGAGGUCGCUCAUGUAAGGCUCCUUCGGCACGCUAUGAGAAAUCAAAGACUUCGGGUUCCGGGGGGAGUAUGUUCGCAAGAAUGAAACUUAAAGGAAUUGACGGAAGGGCACCACCAGGAGUGGAACCUGCGGUUU
rnacentral:rRNA from 1 species